AGACAGCAAAACAACAGAUGUUCACUUUAUUUGUUCCUUAUCUUGAUUGCAUGUUAUUCAUUUCUUAUCUCCAUAGUGCUUAUCAAAAACAGAUCCUUGCUGUCAGCAGUAGAACACUUCGGAUGACUCACUGGUCAGAUGCAAUAAGGGAUCACUGCCUGGGGUCUGGAGCUGUCCUUCAGUGUGAAGGUGAAUGGUUGACACUCACCUCUUCUGUAGGAAUGAGAGGUGAGGAAUGACUCGAUGGUCUUCAUUAGAUGCUCCAAAAGCCACUGGGAGAGGAGAAUCACCUACACUGAAUCUUGUGUAGGCUCAGUGGAGUCUUAGAAGAAAUCAUACAUUUUGUUCUAUUUCCUAAGCAAGAUUCUUUUAUGGAAUAUAAGGUAAGAUGAAGCUGAUUAAAUUGCUUAUGAACACAAGUGAUUUUGAGAUUGAGACAAGCUCACAGAAGUUUAUGAGAUGACUACCAUAACAUGCUAGUCCUUGUCCAUCUUUUUUUUUUUUUUUUAAGAAAUGCUUUAAGUUUCCAAAGAGCCAUCAUAUCUGCCUUUUUUUUUUCUGGGAAGGAUUUGCCCUGAGCUAGCAUUUGUUGCCAAUCUUCCUCUUUUUUUCUCUCUUCUUAUUUCCUCCCCAAAGCCCCAGUAUGUAGUUCUACAUUCUAGUUGUAAGUCCUUCUAAUUCUUCUAUGUGAGCCACUACCACAGCAUGGCUACUGACAGAGAAAUGCUGUGGUUCUGUGCCAGGGAACUGAACCUGGGCCACCAAAGCAGAAUACGCCAAACUGUAACUGCUAGGCCAUCAGGGCUGGCUGGAUCCUCGUCCAUCUUCACCUCAUCUCCUCUAUCUCCCUCCAUAGUCAGUCGCUGAUGGCAAAGAGAAGUAGAUUAAUAUGAAUGUGCUUUGUAAAUGGCACCAAUUAUCAAGUUGCCACAAUUCAAUAAAGGUUUCCCAAACUGUAUUUAUCA
rnacentral:lncRNA from 1 species